UUCCCUCUAAGGGUCGUGUGAGAUUGUAUGAGUGGAAUCACUUAACAUUUUCUUGUUUCAGGAUAUCCAGCUGAGGAAAAGCAGCCCAACAUGCAUCCCUGUGGUUUUCUUCCCUCUGUGUUCAGCUCUCCAGGUUAUGCUGGUGUAUUUGGCCUUGGCGUGUGCAAGUGGCAUUUGGAGUCCCGGGCUCUGAACACACAAAGAGUGAGUUCGACGAUCUCCCAGAGCUCUUUCUCCUACAAAGGGAGGUAUACAAGAAGGGAAGAACAUAUUCAGAACGGAGAAAAUAACUUGUUCAAAAUCACCCUAUGAAUAUGUACUAGGGCAAGCUUGGAACCCCGAGAUGGGCCUUGCCUCCAUUUUCAUGUCCUUGUCUCUUGACACAUCAGGGAAGCAAGAAAUGGACACGUAAAUUAUUCAUUCUACAAAUGGUGAGCAAAUAUUUAUUGAGC
ensembl:lincRNA